rnacentral:rRNA from 1 species
GUGAGGAAUAUUGGACAAUGGGCGCAAGCCUGAUCCAGCCAUGCCGCGUGCAGGAAGACGCAUCUAUGGUGUGUAAACUGCUUUUGUACGGGAAGAAACACUCCCUCGUGAGGGAGCUUGACGGUACCGUAAGAAUAAGGAUCGGCUAACUCCGUGCCAGCAGCCGCGGUAAUACGGAGGAUCCAAGCGUUAUCCGGAAUCAUUGGGUUUAAAGGGUCCGUAGGCGGUUUAAUAAGUCAGGGGUGAAAGCCCAUCGCUCAACGAUGGAACGGCCAUUGAUACUGUUAGACUUGAAUUACAAGGAAGUAACUAGAAUAUGUAGUGUAGCGGUGAAAUGCUUAGAUAUUACAUGGAAUACCAAUUGCGAAGGCAGGUUACUACUUGUGGAUUGACGCUGAUGGACGAAAGCGUGGGGAGCGAACAGGAUUAGAAACCCCAGUAGUCC